rnacentral:misc_RNA from 1 species
GAAAUGCGAUAAGUAAUGUGAAUUGCAGAAUUCAGUGAAUCAUCGAAUCUUUGAACGCACAUUGCGCCCGCCAGUAUUCUGGCGGGCAUGCCUGUUCGAGCGUCAUUUCAACCAUCAAGCCCCCGGCUUGUGUUGGGGACCUGCGGCUGCCCGCAGGCCCUGAAAACCAGUGGCGGGCUCGCUGUCACACCGAGCGUAGUAGCAUACAUCUCGCUCAGGGCGUGCUGCGGGUUCCGGCCGUUAAAAGCCUUUUUUACCCAAGGUUGACCUCGGAUCAGGUAGGGAGACCCGCUGAACUUAAGC